UGCACGUUUGACUGUAAGUCGCUUUGGCUAAAAGCGUUUGCUAAAUGGCAUAUA
rfam:Salmo salar isolate Sally breed double haploid chromosome ssa26, whole genome shotgun sequence.